GAUGAACGCUGGCGGCGUGCCUAACACAUGCAAGUCGAGCGAUUCUCUUCGGAGAAGAGCGGCGGACGGGUGAGUAACGCGUGGGUAACCUGCCCUGUACACACGGAUAACAUACCGAAAGGUAUGCUAAUACGAGAUAAUAUGCUUUUAUCGCAUGGUAGAAGUAUCAAAGCUCCGGCGGUACAGGAUGGACCCGCGUCUGAUUAGCUAGUUGGUAAGGUAACGGCUUACCAAGGCUACGAUCAGUAGCCGACCUGAGAGGGUGAUCGGCCACAUUGGAACUGAGACACGGUCCAAACUCCUACGGGAGGCAGCAGUGGGGGAUAUUGCACAAUGGGCGAAAGCCUGAUGCAACAACGCCGCGUGAGCGAUGAAGGCCUUCGGUCGUAAAGCUCUGUCCUCAAGGAAGAUAAUGACGGUACUUGAGGAGGAAGCCCCGGCUAACUACGUGCCAGCCGCCGCGGUAAAAC
rnacentral:rRNA from 1 species